UUCAAAUCAAAGGUCAAACUUUUCCAAGAAGAUUUAUAAUCAAAGAUCAAGUUUUCCAUAGAAGAUUUAUAAUCAAAUCAAAGGUCUCUUUUAACCAAACGACCAAAUUUUAGAUUAAAAUAUUCUUAAAUGCGAUUAAAAAAGUUUAAAAAAAAAAAAAAAAAAAAAACUUUGUUUGAUUUGAAUAAUCAAAUGGACCACGUGUAGA
rnacentral:lncRNA from 1 species